AGUACUGGCGUCAUUUCUGAAAAGAGCAGUAGUCCUCGGGGCAGAGGCAGGGACAGGGGCAGGGACAGGUGCGGGCUGCGGGAGGGACCCGGAGCCCACAGAGGUAAUUCCACUCUGCGCCUCAAUUAUUCAUCGCGCUGGGGCUGUCUCUGCGUGGUCACCUGCGCGCUGCAGAGUCCCCCAGCGCUCCGGGGACUGCUCGGGGGCUGCUGGGGGGCCUCUGGGAGGCCUGUCGCUCGAGGGGAGGCCGGAUCAAGGAGAGUCACGCGGCUCCCUGGGGAGAAGGGGCGCCGGGCCCGCACAGACCCGAGAGCGGCCAUGAGCUGGUGUCCAGCCGCCCAGGAGGGGGGCUGCAAGGCCCAGAGAUCUGGACACAGGCCAAGAAGUCAAGAACUGUUGAAGCCGCAGUCUCCACUCUCCUACUGACACCAGAGACCACCCAGCCCAGCCAAACCAUAUGGCCUCUUGUUUUCCUGACGUAUGAGCCAACACCACCUCCAAACAUCUACCCUUCUCCUAAUUCAGCCCAAAGCAACACAAAGAGCCACUCCUGCUUUCCAUUCCCAGUUGCGUUCUCCAGCCUGUGGUUUCCGGUCUGAGCUGCUCCCAAGAUGACGGACACCGGAAGUGCCUUCACAGCAGGUGGGCAGCCAUCUCCACCUGUGGCACUAGGGCCGCCUCCUGCUCAACCAAAGAGAGUCAGAACCUAGCACAAUACACACCGCAGCCAUGCCCAGGGCCAGGUGGAGACAGGAUAAUAAUUUGACACUGUUUAAACUAUUGGUUUUUAUAUAUUCUUUCAAUAUUUACCUAGAGGAAAGGCUGAGUACUCUAAAUAAAUAAAGGAAAGGCCCAGCAGGAAGAAAGGGCCAGCGGGGAGCAGCCUCCGUGGCUUCUUUACCUCCAGAGAAUUCAUUUUUUGCCUCAAACUUGCAGCCUCCUCUCAGCAAAACAAAAGCCCCACAAUUAAGGAUGCCUACCAACCCACAGGACAAUGUCCUGAAGCCAGCCCCUCGAGGCAUAACCCCUUACUUACUCCAGAACCUUCCAUCUCCCACACUGCUUCCCCCAAGGGGAGUGCUAAAAAGACCAUUGUCUCUCCAACUUGUGACUGUUUUCAGUGAUGUUGGAGACAUUCAGCUGGCCCACCCUGGCUAACAGAAACCUUGGUGGUUUCUUCCCAAGAGCAAUGGCCUCAGUGCUGCGGUGUCCUUGUAGAGGGUGGCUCUGUGCUUGCUUGCCCUCUGCCCACUACUCCUGGCUCUCCGGGGCCCCCCAACGCAUCUGUCAGAUAGGCCAUGACACAGAAGGACUGCGUGCUCUAUGGGUCUUUAUAAGCUUAAUUCCGGCUUCCUACCCUAAUGCUCUUUUCAAAUCCCCUUGGUCAUCUCUCCCAGCCUUACAGUGCUGUUAAUGAUGCCCGAUAGGAUUGUGAAGGAUUUCCACCUGUCCUUAAACUUCACCCUCUGCUUCCUUCAUCAUUUCCAUGAAGGCAACUUGAGCUGCCUGGAAAGUAGCUUUUUGACACUUGGCAUAAUAUUCUUCCUUGGUCUCUUUAGGGUGAGUCUAGAACAAUCACUCAAACACCUUUUACCCAUAACUGUGAGUCAAAACUGUUCCCUAGAACAUGAAAUGAGUGGCAGAAAGGAAGAUCACAGUGGAAUAAACAGUGCAUUUUGCAGAACACAACUCAGGACAGCACUGAGAAUACUCUUCGGCCAAGAGCAUUUGUAAUAUAGUGUAAUGUGCUAAGGACUCCAAAGACAAUCUCCUUCCCCAGCUCUCCCUGGCUGAGAGCACAGAGUGUGAUAUGUAUGUGUGUGUGCAUGUAUACACAUAUAUGUGUGUAUAUUUUUAUUUAUGUGUAUAUAUGUGGUAAUUAUAUACAACUUUUAAGAAAGGUAUUUCUGAGACCAAUGGUAUCAUAGUGAAUCAGCACUGUGCAGGGUGGAAUUAAACAGGAAAUGUGUGUGUCCCGUUUGUAAAUGUUAACAGUGCUACUGGUUCCCAAGACACAAGACACUCCCUCUACUUAUGAACCAGGGCCAGGCAACCUUUUUCUUUUUUUGAGAUGGAGUCUCACUCUGUCACCCAAGCUGGAGUGCAGUGGCACAAUCUCAGCUCAUUGCAACCUCUGCCUCCUGGUUUCAAGUGAUUCUCCCGCCUCAGCCUCCCAAGUAGCUGGGAUUACACGUGCGUGCCACCACACCCAACUAAUUUUUGUAUUUUUAGUAGAGACGGGACUCCACCACAUUGGCCAGGCUGGUCUCGAACUUCUGACCUUAGGUGAUCCACCCACCUUGGCCUUUCGAAGUGCUGGGAUUACAGGUGUGAGCCACCACGUCCGGUCAACCUUUUUUUAUUGAAGUAACCAAACCCAAUUUCCUUCCCUCUCAUUCCAUUUUCACAUAGUAAUUAAACACUCAAGCGGUUGUCUCUGGGCUUUCUCACCUGGUGAUGGCCACAAUCCCUGGAAGCCUUGGGUCCUCUGCCACAUGUUCCUCUGGGUUUUAUGGGGUCCCCAAGGCUCAUCACUAAAAGAUAUACACAGCCAUGGGUUGAGAGAACACUGGGAGUUGUGUGUUUUUUCCUUGUUGAUGUCCCUUGAGCUUAAGGGCAACUACUAUUUUGUGCAGCCGCUUGUGUCAGGUUGUGUCUUUGGCUGACUGAUAUUUGCUGCCAUUUCCUGUAGUGCUUUUUUUUUUUAAAGAGGGAGCAUCUCAUUCUGUUGCCCAGGCUGGAGUGCAGUGGUGUGAUCAUAGCUUACUGCAGCCUCGAGCUCCUGGGCUCAAGCAGCCCUUCUGCCUCAGCCUCCUGAGUAGCUAGAACUACAGGUACACACCACCAUGCUCAGGUAAUUUUUUAUUUUUAUUUUUUUAGAGACAGGGUCUUGCUAUGUUGCCCAGGCUGGUCUCAAACUCCUGGACUCAAGGAAUCCUUCUGCCUUGGCCUCCCAAAACACUGGGAUUAUAGGUGUGAAGCACUGCACCUGGCCUCUUGUAACUCUUGAUACUCUGCAAUAGAUACCUUGCUCCAUAUUAAAUUGAUACAAUUUUGCUUUUUAAAAAGUCAGACCACAUACAAGUGUGUGAAGUUAAAAAUGAAAGUCCUCCCCGACCUUGACCCUUGGCUCCACCCCCCAGAGGUGAUCGCUGUGAACGGCUUUUUGUGCAGCCCUCAGAAGGUCUCUCUGCAUGACAGAAAUGCAUUUGUUCUUUUUUUUUUUUUUUUUUUUUUGAGACGGAGUCUUGGUCUUUCACCCAGGCUGCAGUGAAGUGGCCCGAUCUCGGCUCACUGCAACCUCCGCCCCCCCGGUUCAAACGAUUCUCCUGCCUCAGCCUCCCAAAUAGCUGGGAUUACAGACAUCCAUCACCACACCCAGCUAAUUUUUGUAUUUUUAGUACAGAUGGGGUUUUGCCAUGCUGGUCAGGCUGGUCUUGAACUUCUGACCUCAGGUGAUCCACCUGCCUUGGCCUCCCAAAAUGCUGGGAUUACAGGCAUGAGCCACCGUACCUGACUGCAUUUGUUCUUGUUUACACAAAUAGGAUCAUGCUGUACACACUGCACUUCAACUUGCUUCCUUCACUUAACAUUGUGUCUUGGAACUCUUUGCAUAUUAGUAACUGCAGAAGCAUUUAAUCUUUUAAUGGUGCAUACUAAUCUGUGUGGAUGUACCGUAGUUAUGUAACUAAUCUCUUAUAAAGGACAUUCACAUUUUAUCCAGUUUUAUUCUCUCAGAAAGAGCCAGAGAGUAUUGAAUCCUGUAUUAUUUAUGUCUUUGCUUACUUUAGGAGUAUAACUGGGGGAUGAAUUUCUAGCAGAGAAAUAGCUGAGUUGAAGAGUAUUCACAGUUUACAUUUUAUAGAUAUUACCAAAUGGCUAUCCAAAAAAGACACUGACAGUAUGCUAGUGUAACAGGGCAUUUUUCAGAGAAGACAAAAGCCAGCUCACAGUUACCCAUAAAUGGAAGUCCACAGUGCCUUACGCCUCCCCUCCAUCCAAGCCGGCUGGCUUUGGGUGGAUCAAACCAGGAAGGGGUUAAAAAUGGACCUCUCUGUGUGUUUCUCUUCUGAACCUAAAUAUGUCAGACUUGGGCAAUCCUGAGUGGUUUUGCAUUUUCUUUUCACUGUAACCACCUGAGAUCCUCUUGUCCCAAAGUCAGUGCUAGGUUGAUUGUCUACAUUGGGCAGGCGAACUGCUGGGAGUGGCAAUGGUGGAAUCUCUGAGCCUUUGCAGAAAUGUUAGGUUCUGGUGAGCUGCUGACUGUGGGUUCACAGGCUGGGACUCCCCGAGGUGUUCUGUUCUUAGGAUUUCUUUUUAGCUCUCCAGUCAUCCUGUCCUUUAUCAUCUAAGUGCUCCUGUUCUUCAGCCCUUUCUUAGCUGUUUGGUCUACUAGAACAUUAUUCAGGAGUAUGAUGGCUUCAUCGUCCUGGAAUUGCCUCCUCCAGCAGCUUGGGGUGGGCUGUCUGCAGUGCUUCAAAAGCUAUCUGGGCUGAAGGGCUAUUUUUUUAAAAAUUCCAAUCUAUUAUGGACCAAUACUUUUGUAAAAUACUAAAAGAAUUGAAUUACUGGAAAAAUGAAAUAUGAAACAAAGACAUAUGAAAUACAA